GGGGUCGGCGGUUGGUCGGACGGAGCCACGUGCCACGUCGCGUGGGGGUGGAAGCUAAAGCCUGCGUAGCCGCGCUGUGUCUCCGGCUUCGGCGUCUCCGGCGCGGCCCCUCCGCUCUCCGCGUCCUUCCAUUCCUUUCUGCGUGUCCGGGCGCCCGCUAGGAUCUGAGCCACUUCGAGGAGGGAGCGCCUGAGCCUCCGCGAGAAAAUUCGGCAAAGAUGUCUGAAUAUAUUCGGGUAACAGAAGAUGAGAACGAUGAGCCCAUUGAGAUACCAUCAGAAGACGAUGGUACAGUGUUGUUGUCCACAGUUACAGCCCAGUUUCCAGGGGCAUGCGGCCUGCGCUACCGGAAUCCCGUGUCUCAGUGUAUGCGGGGUGUUCGGCUGGUGGAAGGAAUCCUGCAUGCCCCGGAUGCCGGCUGGGGAAAUCUGGUGUACGUUGUCAACUAUCCGAAAGAUAACAAAAGAAAAAUGGAUGAGACAGAUGCUUCCUCAGCAGUGAAGGUGAAAAGAGCAGUCCAGAAAACAUCUGAUCUAAUAGUGUUGGGUCUCCCCUGGAAAACAACAGAACAAGAUCUUAAAGAUUAUUUCAGCACUUUUGGAGAGGUUCUUAUGGUUCAGGUCAAGAAAGAUCUUAAAACUGGUCACUCAAAAGGGUUUGGCUUUGUUCGGUUUACGGAAUAUGAAACCCAAGUGAAAGUAAUGUCACAACGACAUAUGAUAGAUGGACGAUGGUGUGACUGUAAACUUCCCAAUUCUAAGCAAAGCCCAGAUGAACCUUUGAGAAGCAGAAAGGUGUUUGUUGGGCGUUGUACAGAGGAUAUGACUGCUGAAGAGCUUCAACAAUUUUUCUGUCAGUAUGGAGAAGUAGUAGAUGUCUUCAUUCCCAAACCAUUCAGGGCUUUUGCCUUUGUUACCUUUGCAGAUGAUAAGGUUGCCCAGUCUCUUUGUGGAGAGGAUUUGAUCAUUAAAGGAAUCAGCGUGCAUAUAUCCAAUGCUGAACCUAAGCAUAAUAGCAAUAGACAGUUAGAAAGAAGUGGAAGAUUUGGUGGUAAUCCAGGUGGCUUUGGGAAUCAGGUUCAUCUCAUUUCAAAUGUUUAUGGAAGAAGCACUUCAUUGAAAGUAGUGCUGUAAAUAUUCUGCCAUAGGAAUACUUCUGUCUACAUGCUUUCUCAUCCAAGAAUUCGUCAUCACGCUGCACAGGCUGCGUCUUUGACGCCCUGAAUGCAAAGAAUUCAUAGCAGUUAAUUCCCCUUUUUGACCCUUUUGAGAUGGAACUUUCAUAAAGUUUCUUGGCAGUAGUUUAUUUUGCUUCAAAUAAACUUAUUUGAAAAGUUGUCUCAAGUCAAAUGGAUUCAUCACCUGUCAUGCAUUGACACCUGAUACCCAGACUUAAUUGCUAUUUGUUCUUGCAUUGUCCAAAGUGAAAGUUUUUUCAUGGGUUAUUCUGUUUUUAAUCUAGUUUUUCAUAAGUCUGGGUGACAGAACCUAAAAUGGUAAGCAGUUACCCUCCAGCUUGUUCUGAGUGCCUCUGUGCAUUUGAGUGAUUUUUCUAUUGACAUGGCUGUAUAAGUCUCCGUUGGGAACUCAUGCCUUCUAAAAAUACUAUUUGGGAGGGGGCAAAACAGUUGUUUCCAAAUGCUUUGUAGCAGAGCAUAUCAAUGGGAAAGAAGGGAUGAUAAACAUUCUGGGGGAUUUAAAAGUGGAAUUAAUUGCAAUAGGGAUGAAGUAGAAGAAACCAUGUGCCUGAAAUCCAUUCAGAAGCCUGAUAGCUUUAAGAACUAGUAGGGUGGGUUGUCUAUCUGUGGCAGUCUUUAAGUGAGAUGGGCUUGUCCCCUCUGGGCUGUAGGGGCAUGAAGUGACAGUGCUCACAAAAUCAGAUUAGACUCUCACAAUGCAUUGUUAAGAAUGUAAAAGCAAUAAUACCUUGAUUGUUGUACUUUCCUGUAACUACUGAGAGCUGGGGAACUCCUUUUCUAGCUGGAAAGAUGUGACCAUUUUUGUUAGUUUCCCCACUGCCCUUACCUAAAUAGAUGAUGAUAAAUAGGCUUGUCAUUUUGCAAAUUGCGUGUUUUGAAAUUUUAUAUCCUCUAGACUUGUGAACACGGUGUUUCAUUAUUAAGUAUCCUCUGUAAAAGGAUCUUGAGUUAUUGUAAAUUUUUUUCUCUGCAUCUAAAUCUGCAUGAUUUCCAAACCCUGUACAUCUGAAUUUUGCAUUUUAGCACUUGCACUAUUACUCAGCAGCAGUAACAUGGUAACAUUAAAAUGGUUUUCGGGGACCUCCAAAGACUAAACUGGCAAGCCGUCCAGGAGUCCUGGGGUAAGUUACUUGUCGAUGGCAUGGUUUUGAUCCCUUGUUUGCACCUGUUAAAGAGUUACUACUGGUCAUCUAGAAGGCUUUCAAUGUUGAGUAGCCUUUUAAUAUGUUUAUGGUAUGAUGUAGCUGUAGAUAGUUAUUUGCCCUACAUGAAGUUUUAGAAAUAAACUACUUGGCAAAAAUUUGGUUUUGAAAAUCUAUUUGGUUAUCAAAAUGCAUUCAUUCUUAAACAAUCUUUGAACCGCAGUUGAAUAAAAAGUUUUCUUGC